rnacentral:rRNA from 1 species
GAGUGGCGGACGGGUGAGUAACACGUGGGUAACCUACCCUUCACUGGGGGAUAAGACUUGGAAACUGGGUCUAAUACCGCAUACACCUUUAAGGCCGCAUGGCAUGGGAGGGAAAAGCUUUUGCGGUGUGGGAUGGACCCGCGGCCUAUCAGCUUGUUGGUGAGGUUACGGCUCACCAAGGCGACGACGGAUAGCCGGCCUGAGAGGGUGACCGGCCACACUGGGACUGAGAUACGGCCCAGACUCCUACGGGAGGCAGCAGUGGGGAAUCUUGCGCAAUGGGCGCAAGCCUGAUGCAGCAACGCCGCGUGAGGGAAGAAGGCCUUCGGGUUGUAAACCUCUUUGUUAGAGAAGAAGCGUAAGUGACGGUACCUGGAGAAGAAGGACCGGCUAACUACGUGCCAGCAGCCGCGGUAAUACGUAGGGUCCAAGCGUUGUCCGGAAUUAUUGGGCGUAAAGCGCUCGCAGGCGGUUU